rnacentral:rRNA from 1 species
AUUGAACGCUGGCGGCAGGCCUAACACAUGCAAGUCGAGCGGGGUUUUCGGACCUAGCGGCGGACGGGUGAGUAAUGCGUAGGAAGCUGCCCGAUAGAGGGGGAUACCAGUUGGAAACGACUGUUAAUACCGCAUAAUGUCUACGGACCAAAGUGUGGGACCUUCGGGCCACAUGCUAUCGGAUGCGCCUACGUGGGAUUAGCUAGUUGGUGAGGUAAUGGCUCACCAAGGCGACGAUCUCUAGCUGGUUUGAGAGGAUGAUCAGCCACACUGGAACUGAGAAACGGUCCAGACUCCUACGGGAGGCAGCAGUGGGGAAUAUUGGACAAUGGGCGCAAGCCUGAUCCAGCCAUGCCGCGUGUGUGAAGAAGGCCUUCGGGUUGUAAAGCACUUUCAGCGAGGAGGAAGGGAUGUAUGUUAAUAGCAUGCAUUUUUGACGUUACUCGCAGAAGAAGCACCGGCUAACUCUGUGCCAGCCGCCGCCGUAAGAC